CACAGCUGAGUGCGUCUUCUGAAGUGAGGGAAGUCCGGUGCAAGUCCGGCGCUGUCCCGCAACGGUAACGGCAUCAUCCGCCGAAGCCCGAUAACUCACCUGAAGACUUGCUUGAUCGUGUCCUUCGUGGAGAAAGGGUACAAGCAUA
rnacentral:sRNA from 2 species